CGUCAUUUAUAAUGUUAUUGAAAAUAUUGAAAGAGGAAUUGUUGCUUGAUAGAGUCAAUUUGCCAUUCUCAUAUUAUGAAGCAAAGAAAAUCAUUCAAAAAUUCAGGCUUUCUUACAAAAAGAUAGAUGCUUGCACUAAUGAUUGAAUGUUAUACUGGAAGAAAAUAACUUAUUCGAUUCUUGCAAAAUUUGUGGUGCAUCUAGAUUAAAAAUAGAUACUUAUAACGGGGAAACAAAGAACAAAAAAGGUAAAAAGAUAGCAGCAAAGAGUUUACGCUAUUUUUCCUUGAAGACUAGAUUUCGGAGGUUGUUUACGUCUACAAAAACAUAUCUCUAUAUAUAAUAGGAGAGGCAAAAACAGCCACGUGUCAGUACCACAAAAAUCAAUAUUAAAUAAUUAAAUAAAUAAAAAUAAAUAAUUAAAAUAAAUAAAUAAUCUAUUUAAAAAUAAGUGUUUAAUUUUUUAAAAUAAAAAUUGUGAAUUUAAAACCAACCAAUAACCGUUAUUUUAUUAUGAGAAAACCUCGCUUCAGUUCCUAAGCAAAACACUUCAUUAAUUUUCCAAAAAAUGAACAUUAAUUUUCCAAAAAAUGAAUUUUCUUUCCACAACUUCUUUUUCGAUCACUGAAAAUUCACUAGUUUUUCCUAAAAAAAUAAUUUUGUGGUCCAAUUUCUACUUUUUUAGCAACGCAGAAUUUGGUUUCAUAUCAGAAGAGAAAGAUGGGUUUCAUGUCAAUCUGAUGGGAUUUUUGUGGACUGAAGUAGUGGCUAUAGAUACGAGUUGUGCACCAUGAAAAUUUGAGAAAUUGCUUUCCAGAAAAUGUAUCUGCUAGGUUCAAUUUUGGUGAAGAGCAAUGUUGAAAGGAUUUCUCCAUCAUUCCUAUCUUGCCACAAACUCAUGAAACAUAAAUAGAUGUCGGAGUGGAUAAAAUUGAUGUUCAAUAUGAAUUUUUAAGAAAAAGUAUUUAAUUUUUUGUGGUUCAGCUUCUUUCAUGUUAUAACAGUGUUUUGUUAGUAUAACUUCAUAAUGUUUUAGCAAAUAUUAAAGAUGAUCAGAACUUGAAAA